AUUGAACGCUGGCGGCAUGCUUUACACAUGCAAGUCGAACGGCAGCGCGGGCUUCGGCCUGGCGGCGAGUGGCGAACGGGUGAGUAAUACAUCCGAACGUGCCCAGUAGUGGGGGAUAGCUCGGCGAAAGCCGGAUUAAUACCGCAUACGACCUGAGGGUGAAAGCGGGGGAUCUUCGGACCUCGCGCUAUUGGAGCGGCCGAUGGCAGAUUAGCUAGUUGGUGGGGUAAAGGCCUACCAAGGCGACGAUCUGUAGCUGGUCUGAGAGGACGACCAGCCACACUGGGACUGAGACACGGCCCAGACUCCUACGGGAGGCAGCAGUGGGGAAUUUUGGACAAAGGGCGAAAGCCUGAUCCAGCAAUGCCGCGUGUGUGAUGAAGGCCUUCGGGUUGUAAAGCACUUUUGGCGGGAACGAAAAGGACUGUGCCAAUACCACGGUUCGAUGACGGUACCCGCAGAAUAAGCACCGGCUAACUACGUG
rnacentral:rRNA from 1 species